UACGUAGGGUGCAAGCGUUGUCCGGAAUUAUUGGGCGUAAAGAGCUCGUAGGCGGUCUGUCACGUCGGCUGUGAAAUCCCGAGGCUCAACCUCGGGUCUGCAGUCGAUACGGGCAAACUAGAGUAUUGCAGGGGGAGACUGGAAUUCCUGGUGUAGCGGUGAAAAUGCGCAGAUAUCAGGAGGAACACCGGUGGCGAAGGCGGGUCUCUGGGGCAUUACCCUGACGCUGAGGGAGCGAAAAGUGUGGGGGAGCGAA
rnacentral:rRNA from 1 species